AUUGAACGCUGGCGGCAUGCCUUACACAUGCAAGUCGAACGGCAGCACGGGAGCAAUCCUGGUGGCGAGUGGCGAACGGGUGAGUAAUACAUCGGAACGUGCCCAAUCGUGGGGGAUAACGCAGCGAAAGCUGUGCUAAUACCGCAUACGAUCUACGGAUGAAAGCAGGGGAUCGCAAGACCUUGCGCGAAUGGAGCGGCCGAUGGCAGAUUAGGUAGUUGGUGAGGUAAAGGCUCACCAAGCCGUCGAUCUGUAGCUGGUCUGAGAGGACGACCAGCCACACUGGGACUGAGACACGGCCCAGACUCCUACGGGAGGCAGCAGUGGGGAAUUUUGGACAAUGGGCGAAAGCCUGAUCCAGCCAUGCCGCGUGCAGGAUGAAGGCCUUCGGGUUGUAAACUGCUUUUGUACGGAACGAAACGGCCUUUUCUAAUAAAGAGGGCUAAUGACGGUACCGUAAGAAUAAGCACCGGCUAACUACGUGCCAGCAGCCGCGGUAAUACGUAGGGUGCAAGCGUUAAUCGGAAUUACUGGGCGUAAAGCGUGCGCAGGCGGUUAUGUAAGACAGUUGUGAAAUCCCCGGGCUCAACCUGGGACUGCAUCUGUGACUGCAUAACUAGAGUACGGUAG
rnacentral:rRNA from 1 species